rnacentral:rRNA from 1 species
UACGAAGGGGGCUAGCGUUGUUCGGAAUUACUGGGCGUAAAGCGUGCGCAGGCGGCUUCUCAAGUCAGGGGUGAAAGCCCAGAGCUCAACUCUGGAAUUGCCUUUGAGACUGAGUGGCUUGAGUACGAGAGAGGUGAGUGGAAUUCCCAGUGUAGAGGUGAAAUUCGUAGAUAUUCGCAAGAACACCAGUGGCGAAGGCGGCU